CCUACGGGUGGCAGCAGUGGGGAAUAUUGGGCAAUGGGCGCAAGCCUGACCCAGCCACGCCGCGUGAAGGAUGAAUGCUCUCCGGUUGUAAACCUCUUUUAUCAGAGACGUAGCGAGUGACGGUACCUGAUGAAUAAGCCACGUCUAACUACGUGCCAGCAGCCGCGGUAAUACGUAGGUGGCAAUCGUAAUCCGGAUUUACUGGGUGUAAGGGGCGUGUAGGCGGGAGUGCAAGUCAGAUGUGAAAACUAUGGGCUCAACCCAUAGACUGCAUUUGAAACUGUAAUUCUUGAGUGCUGGAGAGGCAAGCGGAAUUCGGGGUGUAGCGGUGAAAUGCGUAGAUAUAAGGAGGAACACCGGUGGCGAAGGCGGAUUGCUGGACAGUAACUGACGCUGAGGCGCGAAAGCGUGGGGAGCAAACAGGAUUAGAUACCCGUGUAGUC
rnacentral:rRNA from 1 species